rnacentral:lncRNA from 1 species
AUAUAUAUAUAUAUAUAUUAAUUAUUCAUUAGUUCAUCACAAAAUAUACUAGAUCAUUGAUGGUGCGCGUUGCCGCGCCCGUCUAUUUGUACAAUAAAUAUACAGCCCAAUGAAACAUAUUAGACUUUGCAUAAACAUAGAUGCAUAUUAGUUAGUAAUUAAGGAAAAUAUCAUAGGUAUAAACUGGCUUUGGUAUGACAACUUAUGAAACAACAUACACUUAGUAAUUAUACAGUAUUGUCAUGACUGAUAAUAAGCAACAACACAAACAAACAUGUACGUAGUUGUUGAUUUAAAUUUUCAUUGUACAUUUUAUAGAUGGUUCAUUGAUGAGGUCUUUAGACCUCCAAAUGGAAUGCAAUUUGUGGAAAUCAAGACGAAUUAAGCGAGCCUGAUGCACCUGUUCAUUUGUGAAAAGCAAGUAUUAAUUAUACAUGCACUGCCACAUGUAUACAAUAGGGAAAAUGCCUUCUUGAAAAAGUGAGCGUGUAAAACUUAAAUCAGAUGUUGAUGUACCUGAAGCAUUAGGUUUCCCUGGAAUAAGUUGUAGACACAAUUAAUAGGCAUUGUCAAUACCUUCUAAUGCAAACUCCACAGAUUUUGCAUAUAAAGAAAACAUGUAUCACUCAGAUUUGAGAUAAACUUUGAGGAAAGGAUUGUACUAUCAGUAGCUAAUGUAAGCAAACGGCACAUCUUACUACCAAAAAUUGGAGGUAGUAUAAAGGGUAGAUGAACAUAUCGUUUAGAACCUACGGAAACAACUUAUAUUCACAUAUUGAUCAUCCGUGAAAUGAUCAAAAUGUUCCCGUGGAUAGAUCAAAAAUAUUUCGAGGAAAAGAAUAAAUUCCUUCGGAACAUCUAUAGUUUUUUAUAUAAUUGAAAUGUAGCGGCAAAUAUCCAUUCUGGACUUGCUGAACAAAUCAAAUAAUUUAAUAACCGAUCCCUCUUCACUACAUAAUUGCAUUGAUCACUCACAGUUACCAGAAGAAAUGGAAGGGCCAACCAUGGGAAGCUUUGACAAACCUGAGAGAUCAAUAACAAGUGAGCCUCAUAAGCAAACAACCAAAUCCAACAUUUACAAAUAAAGAAGGCCAACCAUGAACCAAUAUCUCCUACCAUGUAUGCGCUAGUGGCUUCUCCGGCCAGUCCUAAGUGAAAGUUGUGAUAGGAGAGAACUCAUGACUUAAGCAUAGGAACUUCUAUGAAUUUUGUCCAAUGAUGGCCGCUGCAUCCAUAGGCGGAGCGGGCUGGUCUUGUAGCUUUGCUUUCACCAUUGGUGGCUAGGCGACCCUACUGAGGCACCAUGCACCAUCGACAGACUCUAUCUCCUUAUGUCCGCCAACAACAUUCAUGCCUUUGUGGUUCACUACACCACAACCACCACAUAAAUUUCAUUUUUUGAACAUAUAAAAAAUUGAGAUAUUGUAUGAAUAAUAAUAAUUUCAAAAAUUAAAUUAAAAUUUAAAAAUCUAACUAAGUAAAUUUCCAAAUAUGUCAUUUCUUCUCGAAUGAACAUUUUAACAUAUACAUGCGCAAGACAUAGAGACAUCCAAAACAGGGGCAAGAAACACAUCCAUGCAGUUGAACAAAAUGGUUAAGCAUGCAUCCAUUAUGUCUUCAAACCAGUGGCAGCAAGCACAUCACCAAUAGGAGUAUAUGUACAUUUAAAACUAACCUGUCCAUUAGCCAUUGGAGAUAAAAAAAACUAUAGGAUUCCUUCAACCAAUCAAGUAAAACAUGUCGCCACUUCGUACACUAACACCAUGUGCAUCAAAUUGGGAAGAAACUAUAACACAAGUGAGAACCCAUAAUUAUCUAGGUGACAGAUGGAAGAUACAUAGGAAGAAGGGUGAAUCUGAGGCAAGGGAGAAGCCAACCAAAUUGAACUGACCACGAAUAAUAAAAAUAUCUAAGGCAUUGAUUUCAUAUGUAUAGGUGUCCACCAUGUCAUAUUUGCUUCAGAUAUAAUGACAUGUAUGUCUGGGCGAUUGAGUUGGUAAGCAUUAGCUACAAGCCUAUAACUAAAACCAAAACUUAUGUGUGUUGUCACACCCUAGCAGAAGUGUUCUGGAAACACAGUACACAAUCUGAACUACAAAACUACACGCGGCCUUACUCAUUUAGGUCAACCAUCUUUACUUAAACAUGCUACUACUUCUGCACAUAUAGUUGCUGUAUCAUGAACUAACCAAGGGCAACCAACGCAGCCCCCCGUCACAACCUGGGGUAUAUCUGCCCAGAACAUCCAAUUCGUUUAUGUAAUCAAAAGCCUGUAGCUGCAAGUCAAAGCGAACUCGGUAAAAAACCAGGAAUGCAAGAAUUAGGGGCAGAAGUGUUUCUAAAUUCCAUGGAGAACGAGUUGAGAAAAAUGGUAGGUAUGAGGGAGGGGAGAUAGACGUAGCGCACAAGAUAGAGUGGCGAUCUAAGCAUCAAAUAUGGCUGUCAGAGACUGUCUUGGAAUUAAGAAGCCAAAGAGUGGAGUGGAGAACAAACAGCAAGGUGACACACGACAGAGACUAUAUAGACACGCGUGGAGUGAAGUAAGAGCACAGAACGACAUGGUAACUGACCUGCAAGAAUCGGCCACCGGCGAGUUAUAUUUAUCGCCAUUAAAGGUGUGCGGCAACAAUGAUUUAUUUUCUUAGUUGCCAGCAAGCAGACUCCAAUCAAGAGGAGGUGAUUCGUUGCAGUCCCUGAUACAUCUCCUGAAGGUCACCUUUUGCCAUCUUCAAACUUGUUGUCUCCAUCUUUUCCAUAUUCUAUAUAGCUCUGCCCUCUAAUCACGUACAUUUACACUGAUAAUUUUACACACAAAUGAGCACAACUCGUUUUGCCUGAUAAACAGAUCAAACCAAGUUAUAAUUGAACAUGGAAUCAAGAAAACAAUAGAAUUAGGGGGAAGAGUGUUAGCGUGACAUGAACAUGGAGUGGAAUGAGAUGCCUGAUGCAACAGAUAUUGUUAAAAACGUCUUUCAGAACCAAUCUGUAGUAUUGAUCUCGCAGGGCAAUCUAUUUUGGAUAUCAUAAAGCGAAAAUACCUACACACGUACUCCACAUGAUGUUCUCCUCGACUCUUCCUUGCCCUCUUGCUUUCUCCUACUCACACAUCUAGGGGAAAAUAUGGAUGAUGUAGGUGGAAGCACGAAGGCUGUCUUGAACAGCAGCGUGCCUGAGACACUGGUUGAACCGGCAAGCUGCAUAGCUCAUGGUUGAGGUUGUUAUUCCUCGGGAACGAGAUCGAGGGAGCCCUAACGCCUGCGUGAUAAGGAGCAAAAGAUUGCAAUUGGCAAGCCUCCUCUUUCUCCCAGUUACUGAAAUCCGACCCGCUGGUCCUCAUCCUCUC